rnacentral:rRNA from 1 species
GACGAACGCUGGCGGCGCGCCUAACACAUGCAAGUCGAACGGAAAGGCCUGCUUUCCCUUGUGGGUUGCGGGUACCCGCGUGGCGAACGGGUGAGUAACACGUGAGUGAUCUGCCCCCAAAUUGGGUAUAAGCCUGGGAAACUGGGGCUAAUGCCCGAUAGGACUGCAGGGGGGUUCCUGUGGUGGAGAACGAUGUUCUAGGGGUUGGGGAUCAGCUGGCGGCCUAUCAGCUAGUUGGUGGGGUAAUGGCCUACCGAGGCGGCGUCGGGUAGGCGGCCUGGGAGAGCGGACGUCCACAGGGGAACGGAGACACGGCGCCGACGCCUACGCGCAGCAGCAGUGGGGAGUCAGGCGCGGUGGGCGGAAGCCUGAGGCAGCAACGCCGAGUGAGGGAUGCCGGCCGUCGGGUUGUAGACUCCUGUCGGCCGCGAGGAAGCCGCCUGGUUGGAAGGGUGGUGACGGUAGUGGUAGAAGAAGCACCGGCUAACUACGUG